GGAUGCGGGGGUGCUGUGUGGGAACGGGGCGCGGGGAUGGGGUGCUCGAAGCCCUCCGGGUGUCUGCGGGCAGGGCCCGGGUGGGCUCUGUCCCCCCACAGCCGGGCUUGCAGCCCUUCCGCGGUGCUCGCUGGCAGAUGGUUCAGACGCCGCUUUUUGUUUUUCUUAAUUCCUAAAAAAACCCCUAUAGUUGGGGAAACUCCUCCCUGCAGUUUGCUGGGAGAGGCCGGGCCGUGGGGAUGGGAUUGGGCUGGGACUCAUCGCGCUCGUCCUGGGGGCACGGAGAGCCCGGCUGCGAGCGGGGUGCGGAGCCCAGCAAGGGACAGGUCGGAGAGCACCGGGCCAAGGGGGGCGAGCAGAGGAGAAACUGGCUGUGCGCGGGGGGAGCGUGACCAGACUGGCCUGGCUCCGGCGCUGUGCUGAAGGGGGAACAGAAAAUAAACUGCAGAAAGGGGGAAAAGUCAGUUUUGUUUUCAGCUGGCUGGAGCAGGGCUCGGUUCUGCGUGCAGCACGGCGAGGGGAGGCUCUGGGAAGUGCGCUGGGAUGGGGGGUUUGGACUGAGCAAAACGGCAUCGGAGGGGCUGCUGGACGAGCAUCUGUCCUGAAGUCUGAGAUGCUGCUUUGAUCCGGGGUGGGGGGGGGGGGGGGAGAGAAAACGAUCCCCUGGGCUGGGCUGUGGCUGCAGGGACCUGAAGCACAUCUGUCCCCUUGGUGUCCCGAUCUUUGGAAGACGGUUCUUACUCUCCUUUAGAAAUACAAUUUCAAAAUUGCUCGAUCUUUUGAUAUUUGAAGAGUUUGGGUUUCAGGUUGGGGGGUUUUGGCUCUGAACUUCUUUUCUGUAAUACCAAAUUUUAUGUGUUUUCCACAGAGAAAUCAUAAGCACAAACUGCAGCUGGUGCUGCUGUGGGCAGCAAGGAUCACUGGGAGCAAGGGAUGUGCUCCCCACAUUGCUGGGCUUCUGGGGACACCAGCUGUGCCCCCCUUCUGUGCCCUUUGGGGACAAACCUGGUAAAAUGAUUGCACUUGGAGCCCUUCAGGCUCUAAACCAGACACGAGGUGCCAAAAGGGGAAAUUUUAUGGUCCUGCCUGUACUGGAAAGGCCUGAGGGGCACUGCUCAGAGGUGCAGGGUUGAGGUCUGCAGGAUGGGAAGCCUCAGAGCUGAUCCUCCUCAGGAGGAGAGAAGGAGCUUUCAGGACAUAAACUUGGAUGUAAACAGGGGGAAAUGACCGCCAGCUCGCCGGUCGGGUGGCUUAGGGGAGAGCAAAGGGGCGUGUGCUGCAGCUGCACACUCUGCCCGGGGACACCCCGGUCCUCAGCCCCUGCACGGGCCGGGUGAGCUGGCAGCUCCCCCAAACAGUGACAUCAUAAACCCGAUAUUAGGCAACAGCCUAAGACUAACAACAGGAUUCUUCUUACUCUUUUUUUUUUUUUUUUUAACUUACUUUAGAAAAGAUUACCCAGGUGAAGUUAAACCCCGGAGUUCAGCAAACCCGGAUGAAUCCCCAGGAGCAAGCCCCGCUCCGUGGCUGCUGAAGGGAGCUCAUGGACUCACUUCAAACUCAAAGAGCAACUUUUGACAAACACUCCAUCAAAAACUGGCUGAUACUUGCUUGGUUCCUAAUCCUCCCUGAGCUGUUUCCCCGUUGCUAAUCUCCCCCGGGAACCAUUAAUAAAUCUUUCCUGGUUUGCAACGCUAAUUCUGGACAAAGGCACCAGGAACCAGCAGUGCCUGGGCCCGUGUCCCUGCUCUUUGCAUGUUCUCCAGGAAGAUUGUUCGGCUUUUAAUGAGGCUAAUUAAAAAGAAACAAAAAGUAAUAAAUCAAUCCCAUUAAUCUGUAAUAAAUUGAAGUGCUACAGUCCUUCCCAAAGCAUUGGGGACUGCCAGCUCCCAACAGGCUGCAAUGCAAAAUCACUGUUAUUAUUAUUUAGAACAACUCAGUGAUGCCCCAUAGUGCCACAGUGCCAGCCCAGCGAUGCUUCCCUGUUCAUCCAUGGCUUGGAGUCCCUUGGAGCAGGGGGGAUCCUGCUGCAGCUUGUCCCACACACAUCCCUGGGCAUCUCCUCAUGUUCUGCUUCCUUGGUUCAUGGCUCUUCCUGCCCGCCCAGGGUCCCUGGGCUGCAGGCCACUGACAGCUCCAGCGGAACCAAAUUACCGUUUGGAAUUACCAUGAGAUAAUUGGCCUCAUUUACUAUUUAAAGAUGGGGGGAAAAAAAGCUCCUUCUUGCAGACAACUGCAGUGGAGAAAUGUUCAGGCAUAGAUGAUGUCCCAAAACAUAUCAUUAAAGCUUUAAAUAAACGUACGACGACAUCUCA